rnacentral:rRNA from 1 species
GGAGGUAACACGUGGACAAUCUGCCCCCCGGCCCGGGACUAGCCCAGGGAAACCUGGAUUAAUACCGGAUGAGACGGGACCCGCGAUGGCGGGACCCGGGAAAGGCGCUGCGGCGCCGCCGGGGGAUGAGUCUGCGUCCCAUUAGCUAGACGGCGGGGUAACGGCCCACCGUGGCGACGAUGGGUAGCCGGCCUGAGAGGGUGGACGGCCACAUUGGAACUGAGACACGGUCCAGACUCCUACGGGAGGCAGCAGCUAAGAAUCUUCCGCAAUGGGCGAAAGCCUGACGGAGCCGACGCCGCGUGAACGAAGAAGGCCGUGAGGUUGUAAAGUUCUUUUCGGGAGGGGGAACAACCGUGGCAGGGAAUGGCCGCGGGAUGACGUGAAUCCCGGAAUAAGCCCCGGCUAACUACGUGCCAGCCGCCGC